rnacentral:tRNA from 1 species
GCAUCUGUAACUCAGUGGAUCAAGAGUUUGUAUCCAAAACAAGAGGUCAGGGUUCGACCCCGUCUAGUGCC